CCUACGGGAGGCUGCAGUGGGGAAUAUUGGACAAUGGGGGCAACCCUGAUCCAGCCAUGCCGCGUGUGUGAAGAAGGCCCUCGGGUUGUAAAGCACUUUCAGUGAGGAAGAACGCCUGGUGGUUAAUACCCAUCAGGAAAGACAUCACUCACAGAAGAAGCACCGGCUAACUCCGUGCCAGCAGCCGCGGUAAUACGGAGGGUGCGAGCGUUAAUCGGAAUUACUGGGCGUAAAGCGCGCGUAGGUGGCUUGAUAAGCCGGUUGUGAAAGCCCCGGGCCCAACCUGGGAACGGCAUCCGGAACUGUCAAGCUAGAGUGCAGGAGAGGAAGGUAGAAUUCCCGGUGUAGCGGUGAAAUGCGUAGAGAUCGGGAGGAAUACCAGUGGCGAAGGCGGCCUUCUGGACUGACACUGACACUGAGGUGCGAAAGCGUGGGUAGCAAACAGGAUUAGAUACCCUGGUAGUC
rnacentral:rRNA from 1 species